ensembl:lncRNA
GUGACUGAGGGUCCACAGGUGGCCAAGUGUCCCAGGUGGCCAAGGGUCCUGGGGCAGCCGAAGGUCCUGGGGUGGCCAAAGACCCUUGGGUGACCGAGGGUCCCAGGAUGGCUGAGGGUCCUGGGGCGGCUGAAGGUCCUGGUGUCACCAAGGCUCCCAGGGCAACCRAGGGUCCUGGGGUGGCUGAAGGUCCCGGGGUGGCCRAGGGUCCUGGGGCAGCYGCUCUCAGGGUGCCAAUUCCCGAUUCCCACCCGCCAUGGUCCCCGGAGCACAACGUGCAAAACAAUGCUCUUUUCUCAACCAUGGUUCCCGAACCACUUUUCCCAGGGGCAUUCCCAAAGCUUUGAAUUUACGGCAGCUUUUCUUAGCCCUUCCCGGCGUUUCGGGUGGGGGUUUGAUGUCCCCGCUCAGGAGGGUUCGUUUGCUAAUCCCGAAAUUCCCUGGGCUUCUCGGUGUUCUCUUGCCGCUCCGGUUUCAGCCCCGCAGAGCCUUGGGAAUGGUGCCGGAUGGAAGGGAACAACUUUGCGCUGUUUCUUUAAAAUUAAAAAAAAAAAAAAAAAAAAAAAAAAAAAAAAAAAAAAA